AAUAUUGCACAAUGGAGGAAACUCUGAUGCAGCGACGCCGCGAGAACGAUGAAGGCCUNCGGGGCNUNAAGUUCUGUCCUUGGGGNCAAACAUGACGGUACCGAAGGAGGAAGACCCGGCUAACUACGUGCCAGCAGCCGCGGUAAUACGUAGGGGGCGAGGGUUGUCCGGAAUUAUUGGGCGUAAAGGGGUCGUUGGCGGUCUUUUAAGUCAGAUGUGAAAGGUCACGGCUCAACCGUGGUAAGCAUUUGAAACUGAAAGACUUGAGUUAAGGAGAGGAAAGUGGAAUACCUAGUGUAGCGGUGAAAUGCGUAGAUAUUAGGAGGAAUACCAGUGGCGAAGGCGACUUUCUGGACUUAUACUGACGCUGAGAAACGAGAGCGUGGGGAGCAAACAGG
rnacentral:rRNA from 1 species